GCCAGGGUCGCACUGGCGUUCAGGAAGGGUUGUCGGUUAGAAGAGGCCCGGAUGUUGACCCUUUAUUACUGACGUGGGAUCAGGUUGGGGCAAGCCCACUCAACUCUGGCACUGUGGGUAGCCCGAAUGCAACCACUGAUAAUGUGGCAAUGAUGAGUGUGACUGUGAGCCAAAGACUUUCUCUUCAAAAACAAGACAGCAGAAGACACAGUCCCUUAGAUGAUUGCCGAGGAACAUCUGGGAUUCCAUGGAACCUCUCCUCACAGAACCUUCAUCUGGCGAUGGAUGGAGAUAGAGACAUUGGAGCACAGGACUGAGCUCCCAAGGUCCAAAUGAAGAGCAAAAGGAGGGAGAACAUGAGCAAGGAAGUCAGGACCGCAAGGGGUGCGUCCACCCACU